UCAUUAAAUAUGCAAACUUUUGAAACUAUAUCAUAGACCAAUCAAUUUUUCACUUAACCUUUAACUAUAUUCGAACGUGAUAUUCGUAUUAGUACUGUCAAGUAUUAUAUUAUCAAUAUGAUAAAAGUCAUACUUGAAUAAAAUUGAUAAAAUAUAUGUAGUAUGAGGGUGUUCUGUGUGUUGUAUCAAGUUGCUGUAAACACUACUAAAAGUUUAGGUAGUUGUCAUUGUAUAUGAAUCAAAAAUUGUGCCUUGAUACAACGAAAUAUGGAAGAAGAACUAAGGAUAAAUGUUAUAACCAAUGAUAAAGAAUGUUGUAUGAAAUUGUCCGAGAGGGACACAAUAUGUAUCCUAAAAUUGAAAAUUUAUGAAGAAUUCAAAAUUCCUCCUUCAAAACAAAUUAUAGAAGGAUGGAAAAAUCAUCCCAUAAAUGACUAUGUUCUUUUAACCGAAUGCUUGGAUGUCAGUGAAGAAUUAUUUCUAAUUGUGAAUUCAUGUGAACAUACCAACACAUCAACCAAUGUGGAUGAAAGCAAUGGAAAUGAAAACACCCAAUUCUCUUCUCCAGAAGAGGACACAAACUUUAACUAUGGCAAGUUAUCAGCUUGAUUGUUAAAAUUCUUAAGUACAAGAAAUUGCAAAAAAAAAAAAGUUCAGUACAAAAUUUAAUCAAUAUAUGUACACAAGUUUAGUGUACCAGAAAUAAAUCUUCGUGAAAUUCACCAAAUAACAUCUGUAUCACUAUAUACCGUGCAGUGAGAUAAAAGUUUUGUGUAUUAACUAUAUUUUUUCAAGUAUAUGAAAUCUUUCACAUUAGUGAUGCACACAUUAUAUUGAAACUUUGGAUAUUUAAUUAUAUUUAUGCAUCAAUAUUUUUAUUCCAUUAUAUUAAAAGACAUCAAUGUAUUGAUAUUGUAUACUUUAUUAUAAUAAAAGUA